ACGGCCAUACCACAUUGAAAACACCGGUUCUCGUCCGAUCACCGAAGUUAGGCAAUGUCGGGCCCGAUCAGUACUUGGGAGGGUGACCACCUGGGAACACCGGGUUCUGUAGGCU
rnacentral:rRNA from 1 species